rnacentral:rRNA from 1 species
CCAUCCUCCAAGGCUAAAUACUCCUGACUGACCGAUAGUGAACCAGUACCGUGAGGGAAAGGCGAAAAGAACCCCGGCGAGGGGAGUGAAAAAGAACCUGAAACCGUGUACGUACAAGCAGUGGGAGCCUCUUAAUGGGGUGACUGCGUACCUUUUGUAUAAUGGGUCAGCGACUUAUAUUCUGUAGCAAGGUUAACCGAAUAGGGGAGCCGAAGGGAAACCGAGUCUUAACUGGGCGUUAAGUUGCAGGGUAUAGACCCGAAACCCGGUGAUCUAGCCAUGGGCAGGUUGAAGGUUGGGUAACACUAACUGGAGGACCGAACCGACUAAUGUUGAAAAAUUAGCGGAUGACUUGUGGCUGGGGGUGAAAGGCCAAUCAAACCGGGAGAUAGCUGGUUCUCCCCGAAAGCUAUUUAGGUAGCGCCUCGUGAAUUCAUCUCCGGGGGUAGAGCACUGUUUCGGCAAGGGGGUCAUCCCGACUUACCAACCCGAUGCAAACUGCGAAUACCGGAGAAUGUUAUCACGGGAGACACACGGCGGGUGCUAACGUCCGUCGUGAAGAGGGAAACAACCCAGACCGCCAGCUAAGGUCCCAAAGUCAUGGUUAAGUGGGAAACGAUGUGGGAAGGCCCAGACAGCCAGGAUGUUGGCUUAGAAGCAGCCAUCAUUUAAAGAAAGCGUAAUAGCUCACUGGUCGAGUCGGCCUGCGCGGAAGAUGUAACGGGGCUAAACCAUGCACCGAAGCUGCGGCAGCGACACUAUGUGUUGUUGGGUAGGGGAGC